CUAGCCUACUAAAAUAGUUCCGCGGAUCCCCGCAUGGUGUCGGGUGCUAACUUCUUAAGAGGGACAAGUGGCGUUUACCCCCCACGAUUGGAGCAAUAACAGGUUUUGUGAUGCCCCUGAGAUGUCCGGGGGCCCCACGCGCGGUACACUGAGGGAAUCAGCGGUGGAUGAUUCCCUGCCCCGAAAGGGUUGGGAACCCCGUGAAUACUCUCUCGUGAUAGGGAUUGGGCCUGAAAAUUCUCCCCCAGAAAGGAGAAAUCCCCGGAAGGGGGGGGUCUCAAGCUCUCGUGGAUAAGGUCCCUCCCCUUGGUACACACCGCCGGUGGCUAUUACCGGUUGAACGGUUUAGUGAGGGCCUCGAAUUGGUCUUGGCCCGCCCUUCACCGGGGGGCGGCGGGGGUCGAGAAGGCGCUCGAACUUGAUCGUUUAGAGGAAGUAAAAGUCGUAACAAGGUUUCCGUAGGUGAACCUGGGGAAGGGUCAUUAA
rnacentral:rRNA from 1 species